rnacentral:lncRNA from 1 species
CUAACCACGCAGUGAUCUACCUAACCUAACUUAACCUUACCUGAGCUCACCAUGCGGUGAUUGUUGUUUUCCUCCUACAUUAUCGAUGAGAGGAGUGACCAGGGUUACCAAUCGUUGAAAUUCCCCAGAACCAGAGUUGGUACUUCUUCUCAGCCUUUAUAUCAGCAGCCAGUCGAGAACGCAAGAGACUUACUGCAGGUAGAAUAGAAACGAUUACUCAAUAAAGGUACGAGGUGUGGUUAUUCAAUAACCGGUCUGAAGUCAUAACACUUUUUAUUCAUCACCAAUUACAGCAGAGGUUUUUUCGCCUUCAAUGUACUCCCCUUGGCGAUCCCUACACCGCGCCAUACGACGUUUUCAUUGUUGAAAGCAGUACUGGAAGUCCUCUUCUGUCAGCCGGUUAAGAACCUCCGUCGCUUUUGCUUCAACGUUUUCCACAAUUCCAAAUCUUGUCCCCUUUAGCGCCGACUUGACCUUAGGAAAUAGAAAAAAGUCACAGGAGGCAAAGUCGGGCGAGUACGGUGGAUGUUCCAACACGGUGAUGCCGUAUUUUGCGAGGAACGCUUUCACAGACAAGGCAGAAUGGGCUGGUGCAUUGUCUUGGUGAAGGAUCCACGACUUAGUCUUCCGCAAAUCGGGUCGUCUUCUUACACGCUCACGUAGGGCCGUCAAAAUCUCAAUGUGGAACCGUACUUGCCCGACCUUGCCCCCUGUGACUUUUUUCUAUUUCCCAAGGUCAAGUCGGCGCUGAAGGGGACAAGAUUUGGAAGUGUGGAAGCGGUUAAAGUAAAAGCGACGGAAGUUCUUAAGCGGCUGACAGAAGAGGACUUCCAGCACUGCUUUCAACAAUGAAAACGUCGUAUGGAGCGGUGUAGGGAUCGCCAAUGGGAGUACAUUGAAGGCGAAAAAACCUCUGCUGUAAUUGGUGAUGAAUAAAAAGUGUUAUGACUUCAGUCCGGUUAUUUAAUAGCCACACCUCGUAUGUAAUAGAAGUAACAACCAGCUCCAGCCGUAUGGAACCAGUAUAUAUCGAAUUUGAUGUCGGUGGAUGGCAAUAUGUUAAAAUUUUCUGCAUUCAAUUUGAUGUUCAAUCAGAUUCAAUAAGAUUGUUGAACAAACUUCUUUUAUAUCACCGUGACAUGAGAACCGACUAUUACAGGACAAGGGAAUACAGAUGCUAUGUGAAACCUGAGGGUUUAGCAAUCUCGCAUUUACUCUUGUUCAUCAGCGGAUUUCAUUCCAACUCCGUAGAUCACUGCAGUUUUCUGGUAGUGUCAGUUGUACGGAUACGUUUCCAAAACUGCCACAGUUUUUCAUCAGGAUCAACUCCAGGCGUGAGCUCUGCGUCGAUGUUCAAGUAAUUCUUGGUGGUUGUUGAUAUUGGUUUCCAGUUUUCUGUGAUUAAUUCGUCAAUUUGUGGCGUCGGAUUUCUGUAUCAAUAAGCAGUUAGAGAAUCACAGAUGGAUAGUGAAUGAAGAACUACUUUACUAACUACUGGUGACACUUAUAAAUGGAUUCCGUAUUUACCCAGUCUUUGCAAAAUCUGUCCACAACCUGAGGAAUCUUUCGGAGAUGAUUUGUUCAACUGAACCUGGUUUGAUAAAAGGAACGUCACGGAACGCUUCGGGGCAGAAGAUGUACGCCAACUCGUCCAUGUGUCCAGCACCUGAAGAAACAUUGCUCAACAAAUGCUUGCUCAGUUUCUCCGGUGAGUCGUGAGAGAAACGAUAAAAAUAUGUUGGAGACUUUGCCUUGGCUUGAAUUAUCGCUGCUUCAUGGAUACCGAGGACGAAGCAAAUGUCACCCAGAAAUUGAACGUAACUAUCAAUGUUAUCCUUGGAUAUCUCCUUACCCCCAAAGUAAUAAUCCUUGAUCUCUGCUCUGGCAUGUGACAUCUUUGAUGUAGGAAAUUCAUAUAAAAUACGGGAUACUAGGUCCUCGAAUAUUUGCUCCAUCCUCAAAUCUCCCCGACUUGCGAAUGCUGGGAAUAACCGUACGAUGAAUUUGAAAGGCACAUCUUGCGCUUCGUAAAUCAGUUCACAAGGAUGACGUGGAAUAAAGGGAUCAGCGCUUUUGUUGUCAAUGCUGGGUCCAAAUGGAAUAAGUGAUCCGGUUUUAUCCUGAAAAAUGUCCGAAGCUUCUUGGGAAGAGUUCUUCUAUCAUCCACAACCAGUUCUACUGAUUUUUAACGAUAAUACAAUUGAAGCAAACUCUGCACAGGUGUGGAAUUGCGAAGACAAAAAUAUGCUCGCACCCUUACUAAACGGUGACAGAAGAUGGUAAUGAACGGAAGCACCACCAGCACUUUCUCCAAAGAUUGUCACGUUGUUCGGAUCUCCACCAAAUUGGGCGAUAUUUUCCUUCACCCAUUUCAGGGCAGCGGCCUGAUCUUUUAGUCCCAUAUUUCCGGCUGCCUCCUCAUCUUCGAGC